AAAUCCCGUAGCCGGUCCUGUUCUCAACCUUGACAUAGGGCCAGUGGGACAAGGCUGUGGGCAAAGUGUGAGUUUGGGGUUUUCUUGUUUAGGGGGUCCCCGGACAGAGCUCUAGUGACAGGGGUCUCUUGUGGAAAUUGCACUCUAUCAGACCUGGGGCUCUGUCCUGCUGGCCUUGUUACCUGGGCAAGUCACCUCACCUCUCUGAGUCCCAAGUUCCAAGGAGAUGACCUCCGAUCCCUUCUAGCUCAGCCACUCCCCCCUGGGGAAGAGGCCAAACCUCUCUGCAAUCUUGGUACACACACACACACACACACACAGCACAGCCAAAGCUUCAACAUAGGGCUGCAUUGUUACCUCUGGAGAGAUGGAUCUGGGCGUCCCCACACCCAGAACUCACCCAGGACCUGGAGCCCACCUGUCCUGCCAUCUUCUCUGCUAAGGCCCCACCCCACUGCAGUGCAGGGGCCGCUGAAUCCAGGGUGCCUUCCUGGGAGCAGAAACAUCUGAAGAGGACUCUGGAGAAGAGUGUGGGAUCGGUUCCCAAACCUGAGAGGGACAUAAAUUUUCCCCAGCAGCACCCCGGAAACGGAGGGCUCCUGGGAAGAUGAAAUGGGAUGGCGUAUACAAGGCCCCGGACAGGGACAGGUUCCCCAGUCAGACACCCCCACCAGACGCCCUCCCCCAGGCUCCUAGCCGCUCCCGGCC
rnacentral:lncRNA from 1 species